AAGUCGUAACAAGGUUUCCGUAGGUGAACCUGCGGAAGGAUCAUUAACACGUUUGAAUACGUUUUCUAUGAACCAUUUCAAUUUUCUGUGCACUUCUCGAAACCGGCCUCCUGAGCCGUCCUCCGGGUUUACUCGGUGCUGACGUGUUUGGGCGUCUUUGGGAGUCACAAAACUGAGGGAAGAAGCCUGCUUUUUCUUUUUUGUUUUGCCUGAAGGCGUUGCCACAACCCCAACCCUUUAACCUGUAUGUCUGAACUCUGAAGUUGGCGAAUUCACUUUUGCUAACGACAUUUUAAAACCAAUAACAACUCUUAACAACGGAUAUCUUGGUUCUC
rnacentral:misc_RNA from 1 species